GAUGAAGAACGCAGCGAAAUGCGAUACUUGGUGUGAAUUGCAGAAUCCCGCGAACCAUCGAGUCUUUGAACGCAAGUUGCGCCCGAAGCCAUUAGGCCGAGGGCACGCCUGCCUGGGCGUCACACGUCGUUGCCCCCCCAUCUACUCCUUCGGGAUUGCGGGGGGCGGAUGAUGGCCUCCCGUGCGCCUCGCCGCGCGGUUGGCAUAAAUGCCAAGUCCUCGGCGACGCACGCCACGACAAUCGGUGGUUGCGAAACCUCGGUUGCCCGUCGUGUGCGGUCGUCGCGCAUCGAGGGCUCGAAAAAAUUGCCGGGUUCCGGCUCGGCUUUCAACGCGACCCCAGGUCAGGCGGGGUUACCCGCUGAAUUUAAGCAUAUCAAUAAGCGGAGGA
rnacentral:misc_RNA from 1 species